rnacentral:rRNA from 1 species
AUGACGCGCACCAGAGACAACACCGCAGUUCUGUGCUUGAUGGCUCUCCUGGCCAUGUCUACCACCAUCAUUUCCUGCCAUGCAGCAGGUACCACCAAGAUGUGUGUACAGGCGAAAACCUGCGCGCCCACGCCGCCACCAAACUACGACGGAGUGUGCAAGCUUUACUGCAGAACUCAGGGUUACGACAUGGAUGCAAGCUAUUGCACGGCAGAGCAUGGUGGCACGUGCUGCUGCGUGAGGAAAUAA